rnacentral:misc_RNA from 1 species
AGGUUUCCGUAGGUGAACCUGCGGAAGGAUCAUUACCGAGUGAGGGCCCUCUGGGUCCAACCUCCCACCCGUGUUUAACGAACCUUGUUGCUUCGGCGGGCCCGCCUCACGGCCGCCGGGGGGCAUCCGCCCCCGGGCCCGCGCCCGCCGAAGACACCUGUGAACACUGUCUGAAGUUGCAGUCUGAGAAACUAGCUAAAUUAGUUAAAACUUUCAACAACGGAUCUCUUGGUUCCGGCAUCGAUGAAGAACGCAGCGAAAUGCGAUAAAUAAUGUGAAUUGCAGAAUUCAGUGAAUCAUCGAGUCUUUGAACGCACAUUGCGCCCUCUGGUAUUCCGGAGGGCAUGCCUGUCCGAGCGUCAUUGCUGCCCUCAAGCACGGCUUGUGUGUUGGGCCCCCGUCCCCCCCCACCGGGGGGGACGGGCCCGAAAGGCAGCGGCGGCACCGCGUCCGGUCCUCGAGCGUAUGGGGCUCUGUCACCCGCUCUUGUAGGCCCGGCCGGCGCCAGCCGACCCCCCUCAAUCUAUUUUUUCAGGUUGACCUCGGAUCACGUAGGGAUACCCGCUGAACUUAAUCAUAUCAAUAAGCGGAGGAAAAGAAACCAACCGGGAUUGCCCUAAUAACGGCGAGUGAAGCGGCGAUAGCUCAAAUUUGAAAGCUGGCCCCCUCGGGGUCCGCAUUGUCAUUUGCAGAGGAUGCUUCGGGAGCGGUCCCCAUCUAAGUACCCUGGAACGGGCCAUCAUAGAUGGUGAGAAUCC